UAGAUUAGAAGAUUUACUGAAACUCUUCCCACAUACAAUGCAGUGAUACGGUUUCUCUCCAGUGUGAAUCCACUCAUGUGAUUUCAGGGAUCCUGACUGACUGAAUCUCUUGUCACAGUGUGAACACUUGUAAGGUUUCUCUCCAGUGUGAAUCCUCUCAUGUGAUUUCAGGGGUGCUGACUGACUGAAUCUCUUGUCACAGUGUGAACACUUGUAAGGUUUCUCUCCAGUGUGGAUCCUCUCAUGUGAUUUAAGGGGUGCUGACUGACUGAAUCUCUUGUCACAGUGUGAACACUUGUAAGGUUUCUCUCCAGUGUGGAUCCUCUCAUGUGAUUUCAGGGGUGCUGACUGACUGAAUCUCUUGUCACAGUGUGAACACUUGUAAGGUUUCUCUCCAGUGUGGAUCCUCUCAUGUG